rnacentral:lncRNA from 1 species
GGACCGAAAUCUGGCAGUUGAAAUUUUUUGCUUUCCCCAAGGGAAAUUGCAGAUUUGCAAACUUUCUACCCAGCAUAUACCAUAUACCAUUAUAUGUAUGGACGGACGCUUUGGUAUGUUAGGCAUUUGGCUUGCUUUGCCGCUGAUAGUGGCCAACAGCAGUGGCGCUCUACCUAAGCUACUAAAAUUUGAUUUGGUGAACCCUACUCGUCAUGGC